AAACUAACAAGGAUUCCCCUAGUAGCGGCGAGCGAAGCGGGAAGAGCUCAAAUUUAUAAUCUGGCACUUUCAGUGUCCGAGUUGUAAUCUCUAGAAGUGUUUUCCGCAUUGGACCGCACACAAGUCUGUUGGAAUACAGCGGCACAGUGGUGAGACCCCCGUAUACGGUGCGGAUGCCCAAUGCUUUGUGAUACACUUUCGAAGAGUCGAGUUGUUUGGGAAUGCAGCUCAAAUUGGGUGGUAAAUUCCAUCUAAAGCUAAAUAUUGGCGAGAGACCGAUAGCGAACAAGUACCGUGAGGGAAAGAUGAAAAGCACUUUGGAAAGAGAGUUAACAGUACGUGAAAUUGUUGGAAGGGAAACGCUUGAAGUCAGACUUGCUAUUCGGGGCUUGCUCCGAGUUGCAGGCCAGCAUCAGUUUUCUGGGGUGGAAAAUCACGGUUAGAAGGUAGCAACUUCGGUUGUGUUAUAGCUUUCCGUUGGAUACAUCCUGGGGGACUGAGGAACGCAGUGUGCUUUUAGCAGGAGCUUCGGCUUCAUCACACUUAGGAUGCUGGUGGAAUGGCUUUAAACGAC
rnacentral:rRNA from 1 species